CUGACAGCCUUGGACACUGAAGUCCUCUAUUUAAAAUGAACAGGUGCCACACAGACAGCAGCAGUGCAAAGGACUUAACACUGUCUCAGCAAUGUACUUCAACCCCCUCAUGGAGAAAUUACCUAUAGAAAUUAGAGGAGUUUACUUAGAAAUGAGUAAUGAAGGCUUUUCAGUCCAUGGCUUCUCCUGCAAGCCCUGAC
rnacentral:sRNA from 1 species